AGGGCACCACCAGGAGUGGAGCCUGCGGCUUAAUUUGACUCAACACGGGAAACCUCACCCGGCCCGGACACGGACAGGAUUGACAGAUCGAUAGCUCUUUCUCGAUUCCGUGGGUGGUGGUGCAUGGCCGUUCUUAGUUGGUGGAGCGAUUUGUCUGGUUAAUUCCGAUAACGAACGAGACUCUGGCAUGCUAACUAGUUACGCGACCCCCCGAGCGGUCGGCGUCCCCCAACUUCUUAGAGGGACAAGUGGCGUUCAGCCACCCGAGAUUGAGCAAUAACAGGUCUGUGAUGCCCUUAGAUGUCCGGGGCUGCACGCGCGCUACACUGACUGGCUCAGCGUGUGCCUACCCUACGCCGGCAGGCGCGGGUAACCCGUUGAACCCCAUUCGUGAUGGGGAUCGGGGAUUGCAAUUAUUCCCCAUGAACGAGGAAUUCCCAGUGAGUGCGGGUCAUAAGCUUGCGUUGAUUAAGCCCCUGCCCUUUGUGCACACCGCCCGUCGCUACUACCGAUUGGAUG
rnacentral:rRNA from 1 species